GAUGAACGCUGGCGGCGUGCCUAAUACAUGCAAGUCGAGCGAACAGACGAGGCGCUUGCUCCUCUGACGUUAGCGGCGGACGGGUGAGUAACACGUGGAUAACCUACCUAUAAGACUGGGAUAACUUCGGGAAACCGGCGCUAAUACCGGAUAAUAUAUUGAACCGCAUGGUUCAAUAGUGAAAGACGGUUUUGCUGUCACUUAUAGAUGGAUCUGCGCCGCAUUAGCUAGUUGGUAAGGUAACGGCUUACCAAGGGAACGAUGCGUAGCCGAGCUGUGAGGCGGGUCGGCCACCCGGGAACUUGGACACCGUCCAGACGCCUACGGGACGCAGCAGUAGCGAAUCGUCCGCAACGGGCGAAAGCCUUGCGCAGUAAGGCCGCGUCAGUGAUGGAGGUCUUCCGAUCGUAAUGCUCUGUUAUGAGGGAAGAACAAAUGUGGAAGGAACCAUAGCCGUCUUGACGGUACCUAAUCAGAAAGCCACGGCUAACUACGUG
rnacentral:rRNA from 1 species